rnacentral:rRNA from 1 species
GUAUCAUGGCUCAGGAUGAACGCUAGCUACAGGCUUAACACAUGCAAGUCGAGGGGCAGCAGUGGUCUUAGUCUUGACUAAGGCCGAUGGCGACCGGCGCACGGGUGAGUAACACGUAUCCAACCUGCCGUCUACUCUUGGACAGCCUUCUGAAAGGAAGAUUAAUACAAGAUGGCAUCAUGAGUCCGCAUGUUCACAUGAUUAAAGGUAUUCCGGUAGACGAUGGGGA